UUUUGUUUCACGCAGGUUUUAGUGUGCACAAUGGACCACCAUAGGCACCGUGGAAUUGUACAGCCACUUCCAGGGCGCAAUUUCCCUCCUGCAUGACCAGCAGCUUUGAGGAUCUGGAAACUGACAAGGUAAUUUCUUCCAUACUCUACUGGUCAAAACAAGUCACAUGAUCAACCAAGAUGUAGAGCAAGGAACAGCCUCUACCCUCAAGAUAGGAAGAACAGACAGAAAAGAGAGUAGAAGAUGAGUACAGGACCAGAAGAAUUACUGCCAGUAUGACUCUUCGUAAACUUACCACAAUAUCAGGAAAAAAAGUCUUCAAAACUGUGAAGCAUUAGCUAUAAAACUGUGUAAG